AAUAAAAUUAAGUUAAGGAAAUUUAAUUACAUUACCCAAACAAAUAAUUUUACAAUUGAUGGAAUUUUACCACUUUAUCCAAACAAUGAAAUUUGAAAAUCAAGGGAAUUCAAUUGAAUUGUCUAGUAUUUAAAAUCCCUUGAAUUUCUAGAAUCCCCCGUCCAAACACACUUAGGAAACAAUAUACUCCCUCUUAUAGGGAGUUAUAUGGCAAACGAAAUACAUUAAAAAAUAUAAUUAGCUUUAUAAAAUUACUACUACUUUACAAUUUUGUUUUUUUUUUGUGUAUGGAAAAGGGAGAUUAAAUUAACAAUAAUUUGAUUGAUCCGAGUGUUAAAGGAACGUGUGCCUCUAAAACCAGUUCUCGUGAGUUUGAUUUUCGACUUUUAUGUAUGAAAAAAUUUAGUUGGAAGAGGAGAAUUGUCCUAAUAUGUUCUACAAAUUCUCCAACAAAAAUUAGUCACUGCUAAACGACGUUAGAAACUUCGUACGCCUAACAAAAGAAACAUAAAUUAAAUAUAUAAUGUAUAAUUAAAAAAACAAAAUAAAUAUCACUUUGUCUAGUUCUUUUUAUAAGAAAGAAAAAGAAAAAU
rnacentral:lncRNA from 1 species